rnacentral:rRNA from 1 species
UACAGAGGUCCCAAGCGUUGUUCGGAUUCACUGGGCGUAAAGGGUGCGUAGGUGGUGAGGUAAGUUCGAUGUGAAAUCUCCGGGCUCAACCCGGAAAAGGCAUUGAAUACUAUCUUGCUCGAGGUUUGGAGGGGGGACUGGAAUUCUCGGUGUAGCAGUGAAAUGCGUAGAUAUCGAGAGGAACACCGGUGGCGAAGGCGAGUCCCUGGACAACACCUGACACUGAGGCACGAAAGCUAGGGGAGCAAACAGGAUUAGAAACCCCCGUAGUCC